rnacentral:rRNA from 1 species
UUAAGACCCCGAUAUCCAUCGCGCGCCGACCGAGAAAACCGUGCGAGAAACCGUACUAAAACCGACACAGGUAGGUGAGAUGAAUAUUCUAAGGCGCUCGAGAGAACUCUCGUGAAGGAACUCUGCAAUUUUACUCCGUAACUUCGGGAAAAGGAGUGCCCCCGCGAGGGGGCCGCAGUGAAAAGGUUCUGGCGACUGUUUACUAAAAACACAGGUCUGUGCGAAGGCGUAAGCCGCGGUAUACAGACUGACGCCUGCCCGGUGCUGGUAAGUUAAGGGAGAGGGUUAGCCGUAAGGUGAAGCUCGCAACCGAAGCUCCAGUAAACGGCGGCCGUAACUAUGACGGUCCUAAGGUAGCGAAGUUCCUUGUCGGGUAAGUUCCGACCUGCAUGAAUGGCGUAACGACCGGAACACUGUCUCCACGAGAGACUCGGUGAAAUUGUAGUUGUCGUGAAGAUGCGACAUACCCGCAGCUAGACGGAAAGACCCCGUGAACCUUAACUGCAGCUUGGUAUUGGGUUUAGACCCAGCAUGCGUAGUGUAGGUGGGAGACUAUGAACCGCGCAUCUCGGUGCGUGGGGAGUCGACGAUGAAACACCACCCUUGCUGUGUUUGAAUUCUAACCCGACGUUUGUAGCGUCGGGGACCGUGCUAAGUGGGCAGUUUGAUUGAGGCGAUCUCCUCCUAAAAGGUAACGGAGGAGUGCAAAGGUACCCUCAGCCCGGUUGGCAAUCGGGCAUCGAGCGUAAAGGUAUAAGGGUGCUUGACUGCGAGUCCGAUGGGACGAGCAGGGACGAAAGUCGGCCUUAGUGAUCCGGUGGUUCCGGAUGGAAGGGCCAUCGCUCAACAGAUAAAAGGUACUCCGGGGAUAACAGGCUUAUCUCCUCUGAGCGUUCAUAGCGGCGAGGAGGUUUGGCACCUCGAUGUCGGCUCAUCACAUCCUGGGGGUGGAGAAGCUCCCAAGGGUUCGGCUGUUCGCCGAUGAAAGUGGUACGUGAGCUGGGUUUAGACCGUCGUGAGACAGGUCGGUCCCUAUCUGCUGUGGGCGGAGGGUACUUGCGGGGCUUUCUCCCUAGUACGAGAGGACUGGGAGGGACACACCUCUGAUGUUCCAGUUAUGGCGCUAGCCGUACCGCUGGGUAGUCACGUGUGGAUGGGAUAAACGCUGAAGGCAUAUAAGCGUGAAACUUCCCCCUAGAUCAGGUAUCCCGCGCAAGCGAAGGCUCCUCGUAGACUACGAGGUCGAUAGGCCGGGCGUGUAAGUGUGGUAACACACUCAGCUAACCGGUACUAACAGCCGAACGUUUGGCCGC